AUGUCGCGCUGGAAGGAAAACAUUUAUCCUGCUCCGCCCCACUACGGCAGCUCUUCCAACCCCUCCCGACUGCUCCCUUGCAAGCGGCCGCUGCAGUCUCCAUGCCCGCCGCCCCGCCGGCCGCUCGCCGAUGUCACGGGCAACGCCCUGCAGCAGCCCGGAUCCGCAGGCGGCGUGGAGGACAUCGAUUACGGGUACAUCACUCCCCUCCCCAAGGUGCCCAAGUCUUGCGGGUUCCUUCUAGAGGACGACGACAUGGACGAGGCGUUCUUGCUUGAGGUGGACGCCAUCUGCGAGGAGCACUCGCGGUCCAUGGCCGGGAAGGAUAAGGGCAGGGAGAAAGAUUUGACGGUGGAGCGAGGGCCAGUCGUUGUGGCGGCAGCAACCCACGCCGGACCAGUGUGCGGAACGCUUGAGGACGCAUUCUGGACGGAGGCGUAUGCCAUUUUUGAGGAGUGUGAUGCUCAGCGUGCUGCCAAGAGCCAGGAUGAGGAGCUGAAGGAGAUGGUGGAAGUGGAAAGCUCGGUGCUGUCCUGUGGUGAUGAUUCACUUCUUCCAGCUAUAUCCAUCGCAGAUGACUGUGUUAAGUUGGAGGACACUUUCUGGGAAGUCAAUGCCAUCAGCAAGGAGCACCAUGUCGCAUCUUCCGAGAUGAACCAGGAGCACUACGUCGCAUCUUCGGCGAUCAACCAGGAUGAGAUAGACGAGAUGUACGUAGAAGAUGGCUCAGUAGCAUUAUGUGUUGAUUUCCCUCGAGUAAUUUCCAUUGCGGAGGCGGGAGGAGAGGUUGUUGAUGCACUCUUGGGGGAGGUCGAUGUCAUCCAUGAGGGGCAGGUUGCCAUGUCUGCUGCCAAGGGCAAGGAGGAGCCUGGGGAGAUGGGACUAGAAAUGGAGGAAAAUGAAGGGUGUGCCCCAAGGAAGUACUAUGAGUAUUUGCACUCCCUAAACGACAAGCAGAGGGAGGCUGCAUGCAGUGAUGUUGCUGUUCCGUUAAUGAUCGUUGCAGGUCCAGGAAGUGGAAAGACUUCUACAAUGGUCGGCAGGGUUCUCACAUUGCUCAAAGAGGGAAUUCCACCAUCAAACAUCCUUGCUAUGACAUUCACAACUGCUGCUGCCUCAGAAAUGAGGGACCGGAUAGGGGCAGUGGUCGGGAAGGCAGUUGCCAAAGAGAUCAUAAUAAGCACAUUUCACUCCUUCUGCUUGCAGCUUUGCAGGACCCAUGCUGAAAAGCUAGGCCGCACAUCUGAAUUCAUAAUAUAUGGCCAUGGGCAACAAAGGAGGGCCAUUAUUGAGGCAGAACGCCUGUUGGAGCAUGGCAAAAGUGAUGGUUUAGGAGAUGCAGUUAAGCAGCAGUAUGAUGGAGACAUUAAACAUUCUUUUAAAGACAAAGCUAAGAAGUGGUUGAAGUUUGUUACACAGGCGAAAUCUUCAGGACAAACUCCUGAAGAAUAUGAAAAGAAGGGCGAUUUGACAGGAGCUUCGAUUCUUCGGCACUAUAAUGAAAUACUAGUGUCUUGUAAUGCUCUUGAUUAUCAUGAUUUUAUCAACUCAUCCAUAACUCUUCUCACGAAGUUUCCAGAAGUAUACAAAGAGUGCCAGAACACAUGGCAGGCAAUAGUGGUUGAUGAGUUUCAGGAUACCAGUGCUAUGCAAUAUUUUCUUCUGAAGCUUCUAGCUUCUCACAAUCAUAUAACCAUAGUUGGUGAUGAUGAUCAGUCCAUCUUCAGUUUCAAUGGUGCGGAUGUUUCUGGCUUUGAUUCAUUCCGUAGAGACUUUCCAAAUCAUAAAGAGAUCAGGUUGAACAAGAACUACCGCUCUACACGGGCAAUUGUCGAAGCAGCAACAGCUCUUAUUCACAACAACACUAAACGGUGUAAUCAUAAACUUGCUGAGACAGACAACCCUUCUGGAAGUAAGAUCACUGUUAAGGAGUGCCAUAGCGAAGAUUCACAAUGUGCAUUUGUCAUUGACAAAAUCAUUGAAACUACAUCUAGUUCAGCUGAAGGCCGCGACUUCGGUAAAAUUGCUGUCCUAUAUCGAAGACAGAUAACUGGCAAAGCAUUCCAAGUGUCAUUUCGCAACAGGAAAAUACCCUUUAAUGUUCAUGGUGUGGCUUUCUACAGGAAAAAGGCCAUCAAAGCUAUUAUGGCAAUACUUAGGACCACGUUACCUGGUUGUGAUGAUGGCCCAUGGCGUCAGGCCUUAAAGACCCUUUUGCCUGGUGACAAGGAAGAAAAAAAGAAGAUUAUAGAUCAUGUGGAAAAGAUUUCAUUGGCUAGAAAGUGUAGCUUCAUAUCAGCUGCUACUGACAUCUUCAGUGCAAAGGUCUCCGGGACCUUCAAAAGGACCCAGAUUACUCAAGGGCGUAAGGUUUUAUCGACCUUGUAUAGCCUAUCAAAAUUUGUUGAGAGGGAACAAUCAGUUUCAGCUGUCAUUUCUUCUGCAGGAAAUAUGCUACCUCAGCAAUAUCUCCUUGAAAAGCGUGCAGUUAUUGAUAACGAUGGUGGUAAAUUGUUAAAUGAAGACAAUGACAUCAGAUCUGUACUUCAAUUUUUAAUGGAUGAUGUGUCUGACUUCUUGUCAACACACUUUUCUAGUUCAGGGGAUGCAAACCAGACUGAGGAGAAAGGCUGCACUGCUACACUUAAAGCCUUCAUUGAUUACAUUUCUUUGAGGGAAACAGAAAAUUUUCGAUCCCGAAAGGAGGAAAAUAAGAACUCCAUCACAUUAACAACUAUUCAUCAGUCAAAAGGUUUAGAGUGGGAUGUUGUGUUCAUCGUGCAGGCAAAUGAUUCAGAGAUCCCCUUACUGCACGAGUACAAUGGCACUGUGAAAGAAGCUGGAUGCACAUUGGAGGAGGAGAGGAGGCUAUUCUAUGUUGCAAUGACACGAGCUCGGAAGAAAUUGUACAUCUUGCAUGUCACAGUUGACUCUCAUCGCCAGCUCCUACUACCUUCACGUUUCCUUCGAGAGAUUCCAGGUCACCUUUUCGACAUACAGGGUGAGGGGCCUGCAACAAAAUAUCACGAGCAGCCUUCUGGAGACAUUUCAUUUGAUCACGCUGAAGGAGAGACAUCAACUGAAAAGCCUAUUGUAAAUCAGAACGAAACUUCACCUUACCCUGAACUGAUGCAGUCAUGCCUUGCUAAUGAUUUCUUGAAGAGGUUCGAAAUUGAUGAUAGAGCAGUAGUCUCACAUAUAUUUCAUCAUUGGGCGAAGAGGCAGGCAUUUCAAAUUCCAAAGAGACUGCUUGAUAAGAUCAAAUUUGUGAUUGAUGAACGCCUGCGUGGUAAAGGAUAUAAGCGCAAGGAUGUCUUGUGCAAGCUGAAGUCAUUGUUAAGCGACGAUGAAGCGCUUGGUUACGCAGAAUAUGUUAUCAAGUGGGAACAAAUUCCAAUUGACAAGCGAAGCCAUUUGAUGAGGGAGAGACAGGAACAUUUCCAGAAGCAGAGGAUAGAGAACUCCAUGGGUUCCUCGGAGCCUACACCUAAGCAGAUAUCCUACCUCCGGAGCCUGGGGUGCACCAUAACACCCACGUCUCGUCUCCAUGCGUCCAAUCUUAUUGAGAAGUAUAAAUCGCUGUGA
rnacentral:rRNA from 1 species